rnacentral:rRNA from 1 species
AGGAGCUGCCCCUAGUACGAGAGGACCGGGGUGGACGGACCACUGGUGUAUCAGCUGUCGACCAACGGCAUAGCUGAGUAGCCAAGUCUGGACGGGAUAAACGCUGAAGGCAUCUAAGCGUGAAGCCCCCCUCAAGAUGAGAUAUCCCCUCCUUCAAGGAGAUAAGAUCCCUUAAAGACGAUAAGGUAGAUAGGUUCAAGGUGUAAGUGCGGUAACGCAUUCAGCUGAUGAAUACUAAUAGAUCGAAGGUUUAUUCU